rnacentral:rRNA from 1 species
AUUGAACGCUGGCGGCAGGCCUAACACAUGCAAGUCGAGCGAGUGGCGGACGGGUGAGUAAUGUAUGGGGACCUGCCCGAUGGAGGGGGAUAACUACUGGAAACGGUGGCUAAUACCGCAUACCAUCGGAUGAUCCCAGAUGGGAUUGGCUAGUAGGUGGGGUAAAGGCUCACCUAGGCGACGAUCCCUAGCUGGUCUGAGAGGAUGAUCAGCCACACUGGGACUGAGACACGGCCCAGACUCCUACGGGAGGCAGCAGUGGGGAAUAUUGGGCAAUGGGCGCAAGCCUGAUGGAGCCAUGCCGCGGGGAUGAAGAAGGGCUUCGGGUUGUAAAAGUCUUUUAUCGGGGAAGCGGUACCCGCAGAAAAAGCAACGGCUAACUCCGUGCCAGCAGCCGCGGUAAUUC